rnacentral:piRNA from 1 species
UGAUGACAAAGAUGUCUUCUUACUCAUUUG